rnacentral:rRNA from 1 species
UGGGGAAUAUUGCACAAUGGGCGCAAGCCUGAUGCAGCCAUGCCGCGUGUGUGAAGAAGGCCUUCGGGUUGUAAAGCACUUUCAGCGGGGAGGAAGGCGGUGAGGUUAAUAACCUCAUCGAUUGACGUUACCCCCAGAAGAAGCACCGGCUAACUCCGUGCCAGCAGCCGCGGUAAUACGGAGGGUGCAAGCGUUAAUCGGAAUUACUGGGCGUAAAGCGCACGCAGGCGGUCUGUCAAGUCGGAUGUGAAAUCCCCGGGCUCAACCUGGGAACUGCAUUCGAAACUGGCAGGCUAGAGUCUUGUAGAGGGGGGUAGAAUUCCAGGUGUAGCGGUGAAAUGCGUAGAUAUCUGGAGGAAUACCGGUGGCGAAGGCGGCCCCCUGGACAAAGACUGACGCUCAGGUGCGAAAGCGUGGGGAGCAAACAGG